rnacentral:rRNA from 1 species
GACGAACGCUGGCGGCGCGCCUAACACAUGCAAGUCGAACGAGCGAGAGAGAGCUUGCUUUCUCAAGCGAGUGGCGAACGGGUGAGUAACGCGAGAGGAACCUGCCUCAAAGAGGGGGACAACAGUUGGAAACGACUGCUAAUACCGCAUAAGCACACGACCCCGCAUGGGGUAGGGGGAAAAUGAGCAAUCCGCUUUGAGAUGGCCUCGCGUCCGAUUAGCUUGUUGGUGAGGUAACGGCCCACCAAGGCCACGAUCGGUAGCCGGACUGAGAGGUUGAACGGCCACAUUGGGACUGAGACACGGCCCAGACUCCUACGGGAGGCAGCAGUGGGGAAUAUUGCACAAUGGGGGAAACCCUGAUGCAGCGACGCCGCGUGGAGGAAGAAGGUCUUCGGAUUGUAAACUCCUGUUGUUGAGGAAGAUAAUGACGGUACUCAACAAGGAAGUGACGGCUAACUACGUG